UACAGAGGUGGCAAGCGUUGUUCGGAUUUAUUGGGCGUAAAGGGUCCGUAGGCGGUUUGGAUAGUCAGAUGUGAAAUCCCACAGCUCAACUGUGGAACUGCAUUUGAAACUUCCAGACUAGAGUGUGAGAGGGGUAAGGGGAAUUCCCGGUGUAAGGGUGAAAUCUGCAGAGAUCGGGAGGAACACCAGUCGCGAAGGCGCCUUACUGGCUCACUACUGACGCUCAGGGACGAAAGCUAGGGGAGCAAACGGG
rnacentral:rRNA from 1 species